rnacentral:rRNA from 1 species
AGCAGCCGCGGUAAUUCCAGCUCCAAUAGCGUAUAUUAAAGUUGUUGCAGUUAAAAAGCUCGUAGUUGAACUUCGGAACCAGUAGGUUGGUCGUGCCUACGGUACGUACUGACCUUACCGGUUUCUCCCUUCUGACGAACCAUAAUGCCAUUAAUUUGGUGUUGUGGGGAAUCAGGACUGUUACUUUGAAAAAAUUAGAGUGUUUAAAGCAGGCUUUAAGCUUGAAUAGAUUAGCAUGGAAUAACGAAAUAGGACGUUUGAUCUUAUUUUGUUGGUUUCUAGGAUCGACGUA